rnacentral:lncRNA from 1 species
CGUGGCUCUGGUCCAGAGUGAAGCCCUCCGCUUCCCUUCCCGCCCGGGGUCUACCUUGAAUUCCUAGAAAACUUGUCUCUAGCCUCUGGACACUGACCUCACACACUUAACUCCACUUCCCUCUGUUUACCCUGACCCCUAAAUUCGGAAACCAUGUUCUAAUGUCUUGGGAGAGAAAGUAAUUCACCAGCGGGGAGCUGAGCCAUUGAGCAGGUGACAAAGGUGGCAGAGGAGCCUUUGUGGAUGCCAUCCUCUGUAUCUGUAGUGUCCUCAUUUCACUCCCCCCUUUUUGUAACUCAGAGAGCCGACAUGCCAGCUGAGAUCCAAGGGUGAGGGGGCUCCAGUCCCCAGAGCCAAGGAAGAGGCCCAGAUGAAGGCCCCACCGUCUUUCCUAUCCUGACCAUGCCGGCCUCAGACCAGCUGGCAGAAGAGCCUGGGUGUCAGAGAGCUUAACGUAAUCGACCUCACGUGGCUGAAGAGGAAAUUCGAGUGCCCCUGAGAGCUGGACAUAUAAGAAUUCUGGAAGUAUUAGAGUCUACAUAAUUCAUCCCUCCUUCAAGUCAUGAGAUCUUCAAUCAGGGUAAAUAUGAAAUUAAAGCCAACUCAUGGCCCUGGCCUGGAGCACCCUUACGUGAGGCCCAUGCAGCCAUCUGAGCCACUGGAUAUGUCCUACUUUUUGUCCAAAUCUCUGGGCCUCACAAAAAAGCCCUCUCACAGUUAUAGAACUUAUAAGAAAAC